rnacentral:rRNA from 1 species
CCUACGGGAGGCAGCAGUGGGGAAUUUUGGACAAUGGGCGCAAGCCUGAUCCAGCCAUGCCGCGUGCGGGAAGAAGGCCUUCGGGUUGUAAACCGCUUUUGUCGGGGAAGAAAAGGUUCUGGUUAAUACCUGGGACUCAUGACGGUACCUGAAGAAUAAGCACCGGCUAACUACGUGCCAGCAGCCGCGGUAAUACGUAGGGUGCAAGCGUUAAUCGGAAUUACUGGGCGUAAAGCGUGCGCAGGCGGUUAUGCAAGACAGAGGUGAAAUCCCCGGGCUCAACCUGGGAACUGCCUUUGUGACUGCAUAGCUAGAGUGCGGCAGAGGGGGAUGGAAUUCCGCGUGUAGCAGUGAAAUGCGUAGAUAUGCGGAGGAACACCGAUGGCGAAGGCAAUCCCCUGGGCCUGCACUGACGCUCAUGCACGAAAGCGUGGGGAGCAAACAGGAUUAGAUACCCUGGUAGUCCACGCCCUAAACGAUGUCAACUGGUUGUUGGGAGGGUUUCUUCUCAGUAACGUAGCUAACGCGUGAAGUUGACCGCCUGGGGGAGGACGGUCCGGCGAGGUUAGUUAAACGUACGAAAGGAAAGUUAGACGGCGUUGAGGACGUUGCCGAACGGACGACCGACCGAGGGGAGGUUAGGG